UUCAGGGCACCUCAGUCGGCAGAGCAUGAGACUACAGUGGUACCUCGGAUUAAGUACAUAAUUCGUUCCGGAGGUCUGUUCUUAACCUGAAACUGUUCUUAACCUGAAGCACCACUUUAGCUAAUGGGGCCUUCUGCUGCCGCUGCGCCGCCGCUGCCCAGUUUCUGUUCUUAUCCUGAAGCAAAGUUCUUAAGCUGAGGUAAUAUUUCUGGGUUAGUGGAGUCUGUAACCUGAAGCGUAUGUAACCUGAGAUACCACUGUACUGAUCUCAGGGUCGUGGGUUUGAGCCCCGUUUUGGGCGAAA